rnacentral:rRNA from 1 species
GCACAAGCGGUGGAGCAUGUGGUUUAAUUCGACGCUACGCGAAGAACCUUACCUGGGCUUGACAUGUAAGUGGUAAGAACCCGAAAGGGGAUGACUUGGGGAACUCCUUGAGCUUACACAGGUGCUGCAUGGCUGUCGUCAGCUCGUGCCGUGAGGUGUUGGGUUAAGUCCCGCAACGAGCACAACCCCUAUCCUCUGUUGGUCCGCAAGGAUCUCUCUGAGGAAACUGCCAGCGAUGAGCUGGAGGAAGGUGGGAUGACGUCAAGUCAUCAUGGCCCUUACGUCCAGGGCGACACACGUGCUACAAUGGCAGCUACAGAGGGUCGCAAUACCGCGAGGUGGAGCCAAUCCCUAAAAGCUGUCUCAGUUGGGAUCGGAGUCUGCAACUCGACUCCGUGAACGCGGAAUCGCUAGUAAUCGUGGAUCAGCCAUGCCACGGUGAAUACGUUCCCGGGCCUU